rnacentral:rRNA from 1 species
UACGGAAGGGGGCUAGCGUUGCUCGGAAUUACUGGGCGUAAAGGGCGCGUAGGCGGAUAGUUUAGUCAGAGGUGAAAGCCCAGGGCUUCAAACCCUGGAAUUGCCCUUUGAUACUGGCUAUCUUGAGUUCGGGAGAGGUGAGUGGAACUCCGAAGUGUAGAGGUGAAAUUCGUAGAUAUUCGGAAGAACACCAGUGGCGAAGGCGACUCACUGGCCCGAUACUGACGCUGAGGCACGAAAGCGCUGGGAGCAAGAGGGAUUAACAUACCCUGGAGUCCGAGACC